CGGUUUCGUACCUUACUCUAAACCCGAGAUCCGAACUCGAAUUCGAAUUCGAUGGAUUUUAAAAAUUCAUAUCCAAAUUCGAAUCCGACCAAAAAUCUGAAACCCGAACCCAUAAAUUCGAACACAAAAUAAUAUUUUUUUUAAUAUUUCAAAAUAUAUUAUAUUAAAUUUAAAAUUUUAAAGUACAAAUUCAAAUAUAACAUCAAAUUUUUAUACAUAUAUUAUAUAUAAUGCAAGAUAAAUUCAAAGUUUAGAUUCGGGUUAGGGUUCGGGUUUGGAUACAAUCAAAAUCCAUGUCCAUUUAGCAUUGAAUAUAUUCGCUCCAUUCGAAUUCGUGUUUAGGUUAAAAUAAAAUUUCGAGUAUUCGUACUCAUUGACAUCCCUAAAAAAGAUGAAGUGUGGUUCAAAAAUUUUAAAAAAAGGGCUUUUUUUGUAUUUAUCCAUCUAAAAAAAAUUAUAAAUAAUUUUAAAAAAUUUAGAGUAAACUUCAAAUAUCACCCAUGUGGUUUUAUACUUUUUCAUUUCAGUAUCAUGUGGUUUAAAAUGCAUUAAUUUAAUACCCUAUGGUUUCAUUUUUCUCUUUUCACCGGCUCCUCCGUUAACAUUUCGUUAAAUUAUAUACAAAAAACUUCAGAUAUCUAACCUAGGUUUAUCAAAUAUUCAAUUUAGUACCUUUUAAUUAUAAUUUUGUUACUGAUUUAAUGAAAAAAAUUAGUGGAUGAGAUAAUAAAAACAGAAAAAUAAAACCACGGGGUACUAAAUUGAUACACUUAAACCAUAUGGUACUAAAAUAAAAAGUGCAAAACCAUAGGUGCGGUAUUUGAAAUUUUUUUCAAAAAUUUAUAUUUGUAUAAAUAGUUUUUUUUUUCUUACUGUACUGUACGAGUGUUCAUAUGGUAUUUUUAAGUUCAAUACAGUGAUUGGAUCACCGUGUUCCCUUUUAUAUUUUUUUCGACCCUGAGUAAGAAAAAAGAGACUAGAGUCAGUGUGGAUAUAAAUAUAAUGAUUCAUUCAUUGUGCUCAACUUAAAAAUACAAAUGUGACGCUUCCAUACUAUGUAGAUGGUUACAUGUGUAAAUAUAAAUUUAUUAGGAUUAUUUGUAAAAAAAAAAAAUUGAGAUGGGCUAAAUGCAAAAAAAAGCCUUAGUAUAUUAGUUUUGAUUCUAUCUAAAAUUAUAAUCUUUUUUAUCUAGAGCUUAAAUUUUUUAUUUUAGUAUUAAAAAAUAAUUAAUGAAUUUUUGAAUGGAAACAAAACUGAUAUGUGACAGUAGAUCAGAAG
rnacentral:lncRNA from 1 species